ACGCCGCCCGCCGGAAAGGGAACGCAUCCGUGCUACCCCACGCCGUAAGGCCGCCUCCUCCACCGCCUACGCCUGCCUCCUCGGUUCCUCGACGCCGUUGCUCGCCGGACGCCUGCCUCUUCGGACCUCCGCUGGUGGUGGGUGACGGUCCUUCUCCACCGGCUCCUUGCCACUUUCUUGCUUGCCUGUGUGGCCGCUGGCCACUCAUCACUGCGUCCUGCCUUCGCGUUUAGCCGCCGGCGAUGGACUCGGGGGAGGAGGCCGGAUGUACCGCAAGCGGCAGCAACAUCGGCGGCACGAGAUGGCAUCUGCACCGCAAGCAGCAGUACAAUCUUUUUGAUGCUGUCGGUCACUCUAUGAGAUGAAGCAUUUAACCUAGCUAAUGUCGAUCCUUCUCCCGGUCUUCGGAUGCAAAUUCAGGGUCCUUAUCCUUGUUCCUUAACUUGUUGCAAGUUUCAGUUGUUAUUCCGGGAAAUGACUGAUUCUGAGGUUGUCUUAAUUGUGGUAUCAAGUAAAGCAUUUCAAGUUUUCAAAAGGAGCCGCGCUGCAAAACUGCUCCAACAUCUUCAUCAAAUAGCCCGGGCCUACAUGGACGUCGCUAUUUCCUGAGAAGAAUCAGUACACAAUAUAAUUGGGGAGGCGUUCAUGAUGCUCCGAGCUUAUGGAGGAAGACGAACUGGCAAGACGCACAAUUAAUCGAGGACUCACUGUCACGGCCUAGUCUGGAUGCUGGUGGACACCAGCCAGCCGGAAGCAUCUCUGGGCUGCCUUUCUUCCUUUGGAAAUUGAAGUGGGGAAGCAUCUCUGGAUUGCUUCUCUUUUGGAAAUGGAAGUGGGGAAGCAUCUCUGGGUUGCCGGUUCUUUGGCUGCGCUGAACCGUGACGAAGAUGAAGCCCUUCGUUUUUGCUGUGGCUUGCGCGGGGGCUUCGGCGAUCGUGUUCGAGGGAAGCAUAGACCCCAAGACCUUCGGCGGGUGCAACAGUGGUCGUUCGGUGGUCUCGAAAUGUGACGUUUAUUAUUUGUUGAAACGAUUUCUACUUCCGAUGAACUUUUAUAAUAGAUCCGAUCCUUUCUGGGGAAUAAAACCUUGGAUGAUGUACUCUAGUGAUUUCCUAUACUUUAUAAGAAAAAAAAAUACAAGUGAUGUCUUGUUAGGUCUAGGAUUACAGCCAUAGCUGCCCCGGGCCUGUCUCCAUAUCUGGGUUGGCGCAAGGCAGCUACAUGCGAGCAUUUGGACUCGCCCGAAGUUUCAGCCCAACCUGAUCCUGAAGAUCGAGGAGAUUUCAGCAACCCAGCUGCUUUGUCUCAACCCCGAGAGGAGUAGUGGUGCAGUGGUUCAACUCAACAGCAGCAGAAAUCCCAAAAUGAAUCAAAAAAAAAAAACAAAAACAAAUACCCAUGCCAAGUCUAUGAACUGAACCUGUGUGGACAGGUUCCACCCAAAAAAGAAGUUUGUUACACUUUUUUUUUGCAUCAGUAUUAAAUUUAGGGUUAUUUAAUAAAUGCCACUCAAAUUCUAGCGAUUUCAAAAAAUGCCAUUGCAAUUUCCAAACUUUGAAAAAAUGCCACUGAUGCAGUGAUGUUUUUCAAAGUUUGCAAAAUUUGUCAUGGUAUUUUUUAAAGUUUGGAAAUUGCAAUGGCGUUUCUUAUAAUUGCCAAAAUUCGAGUGGCAUCUAUUCAAGAAUUCUAUAACACCAUGGCAUUUUAAGUAUCAACUUAAUCUAGGUUUAUGUAACUUACAACCCUUGUACUCCCUUUAUUUCCUUAUUUAAGGUCACUAUAAAAAAAUACACUUUGCAUCUAUAUAAGAUCGCUAAAAGUAAUCGAGAUAUGGUGGUUCCUCGUAGUACAAACUUAUUUAAUACUUGAAUGUAUAUAGUCAUAAUGAUACUUUGUUUCUUUUUCUUAUUCCUUCCUUGCAUGCAUAUGACUUAUUAAUGAUCCUGAUUAACAAAAAAAAUUGGCAUGCAAAGAAGUCAUUCAUUUUUUAUCUUAAUACCUAUAAUCUGAGUUUAUGACCUUAUAUAAAGGAAUGGAGAGAGUAGACAUUUAUUAGCGCUUCAUGAUCUUGUAAGCAAUCUUUAAGAGUUACACGUUAUAUGUCAAUCACGACUAAGCAUUUCUACACAACAUUAACAUCUCGAAUUUCCCUUAAAACUUAUGGGAGCACAAUUUGCAGAUCUCUGAACAGUUUCACCACGAGCGUAUAUAUUUCAGAAGAAGAAAAUUGAACUGAAAAAUAGGUCCAGUCGGCCACAUCGAUCAUAUACACGCCAUGCCGCAAAAUCAAUGUGUCCCCAGUAAGUGGUGAAAACUGGACAUCUUGAUGCUCUCACAUAGAUAUAUUAAGACUGUGGACAACAAAACUGAAACCAGGAGAUACAACAAGCCAGUUACUGCAAGAAAUUUGGAUCCAUACCACAGAACAUUCUUAAGAUUGGAAGCAAUAUAGCCCUUUUUGUUGCAGCAAGUAGACAAGGCAAACUACAAAUUGCACAAAGUUGAGCCCGUCAUUGAGGCUUAUCUUCUCCUUGCUCUUGAUCUUGUUCAAUUUCACCCUUGCCAACAAGC